CCUACGGGAGGCAGCAGUGGGGAAUUUUGGACAAUGGGCGCAAGCCUGAUCCAGCAAUGCCGCGUGAGUGAAGAAGGCCUUCGGGUUGUAAAGCUCUUUUGUCAGGGAAGAAACGGUGAAGGCUAAUAUCUUUUGCUAAUGACGGUACCUGAAGAAUAAGCACCGGCUAACUACGUGCCAGCAGCCGCGGUAAUACGUAGGGUGCAAGCGUUAAUCGGAAUUACUGGGCGUAAAGCGUGCGCAGGCGGUUUUGUAAGUUUGUCGUGAAAUCCCCGGGCUCAACCUGGGAAUGGCGAUGAAGACUGCAAGGCUAGAAUCUGGCAGAGGGGGGUAGAAUUCCACGUGUAGCAGUGAAAUGCGUAGAGAUGUGGAGGAACACCGAUGGCGAAGGCAGCCCCCUGGGUCAAGAUUGACGCUCAUGCACGAAAGCGUGGGGAGCAAACAGGAUUAGAUACCCUGGUAGUCCACGCCCUAAACGAUGUCUACUAGUUGUCGGGUUUUAAUUAACUUGGUAACGCAGCUAACGCGUGAAGUAGACCGCCUGGGGAGUACGGUCGCAAGAUUAAAACUCAAAUGAAUUGACCGGNUGAGACGNGCGACGACGACGACGAGGGAGGAGG
rnacentral:rRNA from 1 species